rnacentral:rRNA from 1 species
GAUGAACGCUGGCGGCGUGCCUAAUACAUGCAAGUCGAGCGAAUGGAUUAAGAGCUUGCUCUUAUGAAGUUAGCGGCGGACGGGUGAGUAACACGUGGGUAACCUGCCCAUAAGACUGGGAUAACUCCGGGAAACCGGGGCUAAUACCGGAUAACAUUUUGAACCGCAUGGUUCGAAAUUGAAAGGCGGCUUCGGCUGUCACUUAUGGAUGGACCCGCGUCGCACUAGCUAGUUGGUGAGGUAACGGCUCACCAAGGCAACGAUGCGUAGCCGACCUCGGAGGGUGAUCGGCCACACUGGGACUGAGACACGGCCCAGACUCCUACGGGAGGCAGCAGUAGGGAAUCUUCCGCAAUGGACGAAAGUCUGAUGGAGCAACGCCGCGUGAGUGAUGAAGGCUUUCGGGUCGUAAAACUCUGUUGUUAGGGAAGAACAAGUGCUAGUUGAAUAAGCUGACACCUUGACGGUACCUAACCAGAAAGCCACGGCUAACUACGUGCCAGCCGCCGCAGUAA